AGCGAACGCUGGCGGCAGGCUUAACACAUGCAAGUCGAACGGGCGUAGCAAUACGUCAGUGGCAGACGGGUGAGUAACGCGUGGGAACGUACCUUUUGGUUCGGAACAACCCAGGGAAACUUGGGCUAAUACCGGAUAAGCCCUUACGGGGAAAGAUUAUCGCCGAAAGAUCGGCCCGCGUCUGAUUAGCUAGUUGGUGAGGUAACGGCUCACCAAGGCGACGAUCAGUAGCUGGUCUGAGAGGAUGACCAGCAUCACUGGGACUGAGACACGGCCCAGACUCCUACGGGAGGCGAGCAGUGGGGAAUAUUGGACAAUGGGCGCAAGCCUGAUCCAGCCAUGCCGCGUGGAUGAUGAAGG
rnacentral:rRNA from 1 species